AUCGUUCUAUUUAAAAAUUUAAUAAAAAAUUGGCGAGAUUUCGUUACACUCAACGUGCGCAAUAACGCUGGAACAACAUUGGCGUCGUGCAGGAUAGAUAAAACAAACGGCCGUUAUCAAGAUAAAGUAGAUCUUGAAAACGGGAUUGUGAAGUAAGCAUUCGAAUAUUGUACCGAUUUCCAACCUGAACAGACAGAUAUGGGCGAACUACAUAGAGAAUUGACGAAUGUCUCAAUGGUUCACAUUAAGUUAAGAAAAAGCUGGCCACAUACAAACGAUUGAUUACGACAGAAAGUUUAGAGCUACACCAAAAUGGAAUCCCUCGAAUGAGAAAGUUUGGGUAAUUCCCGCAAACCUUCACAAAAGUAGCAAAAAUAAGAACAAAUUAGACAAGAGACACAACUAAUAGCAGGAAACGGAAUCGAGGCACCAAAAGGAGAAAUACCACUUUCCAUAAGACUAGCUAGAUGCCUUUCCCUUCAAGAGCCAAAGUAGCAUUAACAUUUUUUCAUCAAACACGGUUUAAAGUGUUUUACUUUAUGUACUUGGAGCAAAAGGCUUGUCAAGUACUUAACAUAUGAUCUAGCUUCAAUUCUACAUAUUUUAAAUGCAACUCAUCUCAAAUUUGGAUAAGUUGUUUAAGCUCAAGAGAAAUCACUCCAAAUUAUUUUAAA